rnacentral:rRNA from 1 species
GACGAACGCUGGCGGCGUGCCUAAUACAUGCAAGUCGAACGAGUGGCGGACGGGUGAUUAACACUUGGGAACCUACCCAUCCGAGGGGGAUAACUACUGGAAACGGUGGCUAAUACCGCAUACUAUCGGAUGAACCCAUAUGGGAUUAGCGAGUGGGCGGUGUAAAGGCUCACCUAGGCGAAGAAGGCUAUCUGGUCUGAGAGGAUGAUCAGCAACACUGGGACUGAGACAAGGCCCAGACUCCGAAGGGAGGCAGCAGUGGGGAAUAUUGCACAAUGGGCGCAAGCCUGAUACAGCCAUGCCGCGUGUAUGAAGAAGGCCUUAGGGUUGUAAAGUACUUUCAGCGGGGAGGCGUUACCCGCAGAAGAAGCACCGGCUAACUCCGUGCCAGCAGCCGCGGUAAUAC